rnacentral:tRNA from 1 species
AAAAGGUUAUUAUAAAUAGUAAAAAUGAUUUCGAAUCAUUAAGAAAUAAUCUUAUUACCUUUUA